GAUUGCUGACUCCUGAAUCCAAUCGAAUCAUAAUCAUAUCAUGGCAGAAUUUGUCAUAUUGGCAAACAUCAAAUUUUUGUCCACUUAACUG